UGCAAUGUAUUUUAUAUAAAAUAUUUACUUUACACGUAAAAGAACCUAAAAUUUUGGCUUUGUAA
rnacentral:tRNA from 1 species